AGGACGAACGCCGGCGGCGUGCCUAACACAUGCAAGUCGAGCGAUGAACCCUUCGGGGUGGAUUAGCGGCGGACGGGUGAGUAACACGUGGGUAACCUGCCUCAAAGAGGGGGAUAGCCUCCCGAAAGGGAGAUUAAUACCGCAUAAUAUUAUUUUUUCGCAUGAAGAGAUAAUCAAAGGAGUAAUCCGCUUUGAGAUGGACCCGCGGCGCAUUAGCUAGUUGGUGAGGUAACGGCUCACCAAGGCAACGAUGCGUAGCCGACCUGAGAGGGUGAUCGGCCACAUUGGAACUGAGAUACGGUCCAGACUCCUACGGGAGGCAGCAGUGGGGAAUAUUGCGCAAUGGGGGAAACCCUGACGCAGCAACGCCGCGUGGGUGAAGAAGGCCUUCGGGUUGUAAAGCUCUGUCUUCUGGGACGAUAAUGACGGUACCAGAGGAGGAAGCCACGGCUAACUACGUGCCAGCCGCUGC
rnacentral:rRNA from 1 species